CAGGUCAAUUUCAAUCAGAGUAAAGGAACACAUUCUUUUUUUUUCCUUUCUAUUAAGCCAUGUUUAUAGAGGUGUUUUAGCCACAAUACAAACCACCACGGAGAUUUCUGAGACAUUAAGGAGACACAAGUAAACAUGGUGGUGGAGCCUUAUGGGUGAUGGUCCUUGGUGGUAUCACACACCCCAUGCUUCCAGGAUGAUGGACCUCAGGGAGAACAGCUCUUGGUGUCGCCGGAAUGACUAUACACCAUAAGCAGGAUGCCAGACGACAGAACUUGUCCUUAUUACAGAACCUCACCCAUCCUAUUAAUACUAAGAACUCAAUAGUUUUGUAAAUGAAGGCAACAGUUUGUCUGGCUUUCUGACUGUUGGCCUCUCCUUAAGCAGCGCCUAAGCAGGUAACAUUUCAUCCGUCCAUACUACUGGGAAGAAAACUUACUUCAAUAAUAACGAGACGAGGUCUUACUUGUUCAAGGUUAUCAGCUAUUGCAAUGAAUUCCUGUACGAGCACAUGCCGGCUAUCUACUACACGCAGGAAUUCCUAAAGAAAACAGACAAGGACAUUAAUGCUACAAUAUUAGAACCCUUAAGCAAAAUACCUUGCAGAUAUACAUGAGUACCGACUACUCUAAUUCACUAUAUUAAUACACUCAGCUCAAGCAAAACCUAAAAAAUUAAAAUCAAUCAAUGUUAUUCUCACAACCAUGAACUGGCCUAUAAAUGAUGGUUUAAAUAAAUGUGCCAAAUUAAAAUACAUUAUAUCUAAGGGUCACUACAAUACAACCAUUCAGAGGAUAUUGCAGUGACUACUAUGCAAUUAAUAAUAAUAAUACAGUAAUCAGAUGUUAAUACUGUAAACCAAUUGCCUGUUUUUUAAUAAACUACAAACUUUUGAAUGUUUUAUAAACUGUAACUUACAAAA